rnacentral:lncRNA from 1 species
AUGAGCACGGUGUCAGCGCGCAGUACCCGGCUGUGGGGUACUUACUGGGGGGCCGGGGGGCCCUCUAAAGCCCUGCGGGCCCUGUGGGGGAGGGAAGGAGGCAAACAACACGUGAAUGCUCCCGUUGGGGCUGGUGGCAGCUGCUGUGGGGCCACGGGAGCUUCCCACCCCUCCCGGAACGCACCCCCCCUGCAUCCCCCACUCACCGGUUUCCCCUCGGGGCCGGCCAGACCCCUCUCUCCUGGGAGGCCCUGGAAGAAGAGGUGGAGGCAGUGGGGUGGAGAUGGGGCCGUGGGGAUGGGGAUGGAGACCAUGGGGAUGGAAAUGGAGACCAUGAGUAUGAGGACGGGGAUAGAGACCAUGGGGAUGAGGAGGACGGGGAUGAUGGAGAUGGGGUUGGAGACCAUGGGGGUGGAGACUAUGGGGAUGAGGAUGGGGAUAGAGACCAUGGGGAUGAUGAGGAUGAUGAGGAUGAUGGAAACGGGGUUGGAGACCAUGGGUAUGGAGACCAUGGGGAUGAGGAUGGGGAUGGAGACCACAUGGAUGAUGGGGAUGGGGAUGAUGGAGACAGGGAUGGAGAUGAGGACCAUGGGGACGAUGGGGAUGGAGGCGCAGUGCCAUACUCACCGGGGACCCAUCCCUGCCCUUCUCUCCAGGCUCUCCUCGCUCGCCCCGCUGCCCGCCUUCGCCCUGCCGUGGGGAGAGGCGCGGGGUUGUGGGGCCAGCGCUGCAGGCAGGGCCGUCCCCGUCCCCGUCCCCCCGCCCGCCCCCACGGCCCGCUUGCCCCCAGAGAGGGGCGUCCCCAGCUGCGCCCCUGCCCGGGGCUUGGCCGGCAGCACACGGAGAGGGGAGAGCAGAGAGCUGGUGCCGAGCCCCGAAAAGGGAGCGCGGGAGGAAGAGAGAAGCGGAGGAGCCACGGGAGACUUACUACACGCAGACCUUAUCUCCUUUGGGUCCUCGCUCGCCCUCGGCACCCGGCUCACCCUGCAGGGAGGAGGAGGAGGAGGAGGAGGAGGAAGAAGAAGGGAUGUUGCCGGCCUCACGUGCUGCCCCAGCCCAGCUCGUGGCAGCUGUGGGGCUGACACAUCGUCCCCAAACAGCCCCGGGGGGCUGGCCCCGUUGUCGCCCUGCUCCUUUCUCCCCGGACACCCACCUUCGCCCCCUUGGGUCCGGGGGGGCCGCGCUCCCCUGGGAAGCCCAUCAGGCUGCCCUCCAUCACGUCUGCCUGCGGGCACAGCGCCGUCAGGGCUGGCACCCGGGGGACCCCCGGGAGGCCCCCCAGUCCUCCCCGAGCCCCCCGUGCCAGGGGGCUGGACGUGGAUGCCUCUUGGAGAGGGUCCCCGGCAGCACCCGUCACCUACCUUGGGUCCUGGGGGGCCGGGGGGGCCCGGCAAGCCAUCUCUGCCCUAG